rnacentral:rRNA from 1 species
GGGAACUGCAUCUGAUACUGUUAAGCUAGAGUAGGUGAGAGGGAAGUAGAAUUCCAGGUGUAGCGGUGAAAUGCGUAGAGAUCUGGAGGAAUACCGAUGGCGAAGGCAGCUUCCUGGCAUCAUACUGACACUGAGGCUCGAAAGCGUGGGUAGCAAACAGGAUUAGAUACCCUGGUAGUCCACGCCGUAAACGAUGUCUACUAGUCGUUGGGUCCCUUGAGGACUUAGUGACGCAGCUAACGCAAUAAGUAGACCGCCUGGGGAGUACGGCCGCAAGGUUAAAACUCAAAUGAAUUGACGGGGGCCCGCACNAGCGGUGGAGCAUGUGGUUUAAUUCGAUGCAACGCGAAGAACCUUACCUGGUCUUGACAUACACAGAAUCUUGUAGAGAUACGAGAGUGCCUUCGGGAAUUGUGAUACAGGUGCUGCAUGGCUGUCGUCAGCUCGUGUCGUGAGAUGUUGGGUUAAGUCCCGCAACGAGCGCAACCCUUGUCCUUAGUUACCAGCGGGUUAAGCCGGGAACUCUAAGGAUACUGCCAGUGACAAACUGGAGGAAGGCGGGGACGACGUCAAGUCAUCAUGGCCCUUACGACCAGGGCUACACACGUGCUACAAUGGUAGGUACAGAGGGCAGCUACACAGCGAUGUGAUGCGAAUCUCAAAAAGCCUAUCGUAGUCCAGAUUGGAGUCUGCAACUCGACUCCAUGAAGUAGGAAUCGCUAGUAAUCGCGGAUCAGAAUGCCGCGGUGAAUACGUUCCCGGGCCUUGUACACACCGCCCGUCACACCAUGGGAGUUGAUUGCACCAGAAGUGGUUAGCCGAACCUUUUAGGACGGCG